rnacentral:rRNA from 1 species
GUGGGGAAUAUUGGACAAUGGGCGAAAGCCUGAUCCAGCCAUGCCGCGUGUGUGAAGAAGGUCUUCGGAUUGUAAAGCACUUUAAGUUGGGAGGAAGGGCAGUAAGUUAAUACCUUGCUGUUUUGACGUUACCGACAGAAUAAGCACCGGCUAACUUCGUGCCAGCAGCCGCGGUAAUACGAAGGGUGCAAGCGUUAAUCGGAAUUACUGGGCGUAAAGCGCGCGUAGGUGGUUCAGUAAGUUGGAAGUGAAAUCCCCGGGCUCAACCUGGGAACUGCUUUCAAAACUGCUGAGCUAGAGUACGGUAGAGGGUGGUGGAAUUUCCUGUGUAGCGGUGAAGUGCGUAGAUAUAGGAAGGAACACCAGUGGCGAAGGCGACCACCUGGACUGAUACUGACACUGAGGUGCGAAAGCGUGGGGAGCAAACAGGAUUAGAAACCCGGGUAGUCC